GGAUUGUGGCUCAGUGGUAGAGCACUUGCCUAGCAUGCUUAAGGUACUGAGUUUGAUCCUCAGCACCA
rnacentral:tRNA from 1 species